CUCAUAUGUGCCAGGUGUUGUUCUGAGCACUGGGGCACAGGAGUAAUCAAAGCAGCCUAACUGGUAGAGGUACUUUUAGCAGAAGAAUUCAAGAAAAAUUCAACUUGGAUAUGGGUCGCUGUCCUGUGACUUGAAGAUCCAAAUUCUCUCUCCCCCACCCAUCCCAAGCCUGUUUGACCACAGGUCAAAUAAAUACCACUGGAGAAGAAAGGAUUUAUUUAUUGAGCACCUUAUGAGCUUGUAGAAUCCCCACCAAAAUCUUGCAAGGGGAGUUGGCUGCUCCCAUUUACAGAAGAGAAAACCUGAGACUCAUAAAGGAUAAUUUUUGGGGGGGGCAGGAUUGAGUUUGGAACAGAUAUUCUUACAAUUACAUCACAUUAUCUCUUUAGUGGUUGGCAUCUACAUGGCUUGAAUCCAUCCUGAAGGGUAGCAUAGUAUAGAUUUAGGAUUUGGAGUCUGAUCUUCAUUUUCACCUUCAGUAGUUGUUACAUCCUAGGAAAUUUAUUUAACUUUUUCUGAACUUUUGCUCUCUUAUGUAUAAAACGGUGCUGUUUUUAGUCCUUCCACUAAAACUUGGUGAGACUCCAUUAGGUGAUUCAAUGUAAAGUUCUCACCACAGUCUUGGGUACAUAGUUAAUAUUACAGCUCUUCUCUCUCUCCCAUUUCCUUCCUCUUCUCCCUCUCUCUCCCCUUCCUCUUUCCCC